rnacentral:rRNA from 1 species
UACGAGAGGCCCAAACGUUAUUCGGAAUUACUGGGCUUAAAGAGUUCGUAGGCGGCGCAGAAAGUAGGGUGUGAAAGCCCUCGGCUUAACCGAGGAAUUGCGCUCUAAACUACUGUGCUUGAGGAACCUAGAGGUGAGCAGAACUGAUGGGUGGAGCGGUGAAAUGCGUUGAUAUCAUCAGGAAUACCGGAGGCGAAGGGCGGCUC